rnacentral:rRNA from 1 species
UACGUAGGGUCCGAGCGUUGUCCGGAAUUAUUGGGCGUAAAGAGCUCGUAGGCGGCCCGUUAAGUCUGAAGUGAAAUCUCAAGGCUCAACCUUGAAAUCGCUUUCGAUACUGGCGGACUUGAGGCAGGUAGGGGAAGGUGGAAUUCCUGGUGUAGCGGUGAAAUGCGCAGAUAUCAGGAGGAACACCGGUGGCGAAGGCGGACUUCUGGGCCUGUUCUGACGCUGAGGAGCGAAAGCGUGGGGAGCAAACAGG